AAGGCCUAAAGAGAGGACAGCAGAAACAUCGCAAAUAAUCCAUUAGGUCCAUCUGUAUUCAUAAAGCUCAACAGCAGCGGCCUGGCUUAUGGCAGAACACAAAAGCCGAGUGAAGGCUUUUGAGCUCAGCCUCUCACUCACCACCGAGUGAGAGGCUGAGGAAUUAAUGCUGAACAGCACAGCCGAGCAACACCCCCAGUCCCGGGCACCAGGCCCCAGUGGGCUGCAGCGCUUGCCGGCUACCAAGAACAGCUAAAUAAGAAAAAGUUGCUCCAAUCCGUCCAGCCUGGCCUUGGACACUUCCAGCAUCCCUGGCAGAGCCAGAGCAGGAAACACAGGAUCUGUAGAGCUGGGAGAGCUGAACUCAAGCACCAGCUCAUGGAAAGCAGAGGGCUGGUGAGCUGCCUCUGCUUGUCCCUGAUGUGUCCUACUUCAGGCACAGGAGGUAGAAGUGUCAGCUCAGAAACAGCUGCCAGCAACAAAAAUCCAGCCGUGAAAUAAGCAGAGAAAAAUUUGGGGUGCUGCCGAGUGCCUUGCUGGGAGAAGCACAAUUCCACACCUUCCCUGGCCUCCACUGGAUGCCUUAACAUCAGCCCAGUGCUCUGUGUAUCGAUGUCUGGGCACAGCAGCAUAACUGUGACCUCUCUCGCUGGGGAUCCAUUCAAAGGAAGUUUUUCUCUGGGCUUUGUGCCCCAGUGAGACACUUCAAGGCCUUUCCAGAAAGCCUGGCAUCCCUCCCACAUGCUCCUCAUGUCCUUAUGCUCUCAGAGCUCAGCAAGGAACUCAGCUGGAGCUGUGCCUUGCCUCAGGCAAUCAUCCACUCCAGCUCUGUCUUCAAAUGUUUCACGCUCUAUUUUCAGCCCAAGGCAGGCAGCUAUUCUUCCUGGAUGUGGGGUGCUCCUCCCCAGCUCAGCCUGAUCCUGCCUUGUCCCGGGAAGCUCUGGGCUUGUUGUGCCCGGGACACGACUGUGUGCAGGGAGAGAGGCUGGUGCUGAGCAGAAGGAGCUCGGUGCUUCCCCCUGUAAGUGAUGAACCUGGUGAGGAACAGGUUUCCCAGCUAUGCCCAGUGCAGCACAGCAAAAGCUCUCUGGGGGAGAGACAGGUAGGGGCAGACACAGAGCAUUUCAUGCUCUUGUUCCUGGGGGUCUCGCUGCCCAUGACCGAGGGCACGUGCCCACACAGGGAUGGAUGAUGACUCUGCUGAGACCCUAAGCCACAGCUUCAGUCUGGAACUGUUUAAUUCAUUGGCGCAGGAUGGGGCCCAAAUUAAUAUGCUUUGUCUCUUUUAAUAAGACAUUUUCAGCAAGAUUGGGGAGAUACUUCAAAAGCUUCCUGAAUGCCAAAUACCAGAACUCAGCAACUCUCAGUGCCAAGACCAGUCCCUCACUUCCCAGUACAGAUUCCCUCUGUGUGCACAGCUUUUCCUCUGCUUGCUGGCCUCAGAGGGGGCCUCAAACAAAGGCCUGCACAUAAUUUGUGAACUUUGGGUGAAAAGCAUCAAACCAGAUGAAACACAGCAGCUCUGCCAUGGGAGUGAAGCCCUUUUCUGUCACAGGAAUGUGCUCUCUGCAUUAGUUGCAGCCAGUCCCUGUUGUUCAUCUUGGCUUGCUGACCACUAAACAGAUCCUCCUUUUCUCCUGCAAGUGUUGUGGCAGGGUCUGAAGGGACGGAGAUGCUUUGUUGCAAGCCAGAUUAGAGAUAUGAGUUACUACAAAACAAAAGCCCAGCUAGCCUUCAGGAGAGUUCCUCUAGUCUAGACACAGCCUCCCCUGAGCUCCCUGUGUGCAUCCCAGCACAGCCCUGCAGCUUGUGUUCAAAGCAACUCAACAGGCUCUAGAAGCCUGGGUAACCUCUGCCCUGUGAAUGCUCAGUUGCAGCAUAAAGGAGAAUCACAUCUGAGUGAUUUUGCUCCCAUAAAUUAGCAGGAUGGGUUAAACCAGGACAUGAGCACGGUCUGCUGGCACAGUGCAUCCACUCAAGAGAUCUGCACUGGCAUGGAGCUGUAGUGCUUCAAAAUACGUGUGCUCCAAGCCUGGGGUGGGACAUCCCCCAUGUAGCCAAUGUCUGCAGCUUCUGUGGCAGCAAGAGAGAUCCUUUACUGUCACCUCAGUCUUGAACACACCCAUGCUCAGGGCUCGCUGCCUGCCCCAUGUCACUGCUCACCUUCAGCUCUGGCACUGCAGGGUUGGUCCUGUGAUCCUUCUGUACGGAUCAGAUUUUGGCUCAACAUCAUUUGGCCACACCGUCAGUCACCAGAGCAAAAGACAGAGUAGUACUGUGGGAAGAGGAAGAAAAUUCAGUAAACCUAUGAAAGAAAAGA